rnacentral:rRNA from 1 species
UACGUAGGGCGCAAGCGUUGUCCGGAAUUAUUGGGCGUAAAGAGCUCGUAGGCGGCUUGUCACGUCGAUUGUGAAAGCCUGAGGCUUAACCUCGGGUCUGCAGUCGAUACGGGCUAGCUAGAGUGUGGUAGGGGAGAUCGGAAUUCCUGGUGUAGCGGUGAAAUGCGCAGAUAUCAGGAGGAACACCGGUGGCGAAGGCGGAUCUCUGGGCCAUUACUGACGCUGAGGAGCGAAAGCGUGGGGAGCGAACAGG